GGGCAGCUAGCUCAGUUGGUUAGAGCAAUUGGUUUACACCCAAUAGGUCGCAGGUUCGAGUCCUGUGUUGCCCACCA
rnacentral:tRNA from 1 species